AUACUUACCUGACAGGGGAGAUACCAUGAUCUAGCAGGUGGUUUUCCCAGGGCAAGGCUCGCCCCUUGCACUCUGGGCCUGCUGACCCUGCAAGGGAGAGUGAUGGAGAAAGUGGAGGAGUUAGGGCAGCAGUCAUUUA
ensembl:snRNA U1 U1 spliceosomal RNA